rnacentral:rRNA from 1 species
UACGUAGGGUGCAAGCGUUAAUCGGAAUUACUGGGCGUAAAGCGUGCGCAGGCGGUUAUGUAAGACAGAUGUGAAAUCCCCGGGCUCAACCUGGGAACUGCGUUUGAAACUACAAGGCUAGAGUGUAGCAGAGGGGGGUAGAAUUCCACGUGUAGCAGUGAAAUGCGUAGAGAUGUGGAGGAAUACCGAUGGCGAAGGCAGCCCCCUGGGAUAACACUGACGCUCAUGCACGAAAGCGUGGGGAGCAAACAGG